rnacentral:lncRNA from 1 species
UUUUAUUUCUUGAACGAUCCCUUAUUACAACUAAAACGAUGGCAGUGCCUUGCCUUCGAUAAAGUGUUGGAACAAGGCAAGUGACUCGCCAGGUUUGUCAAAUGGAGGCUGAUGUCCAGCACCUCUUACUGUCGCAAAUGUCAUUUCUGAGUACACUUCUGUCCAUCCACCAACCUGCAGUUUAAAAGAGUUGUCUAAUAUACUCCUGGCACUCAACAAAAUUUAGUUGACGCUUACCUGAUUUGUGUAGUUCCACCCAUACCAUGGAGUAACAACAGUGAGAUUGAGUGCUUUGAUCCAGCUCCUGGUUGAAAGCGUUGAAACGACAACAUCCGAAUCCCCGCUGUGUUUUACACGUGUUAUAAGCUAUAAGCACUUCAGAUUGUUGUAUUGUAACUCACAGACCUGUAAAUCCAGAUUCUCAAGCCACUCUUGAACAAAUGUUGGUAUAGGGGGAGCAUUGAACGCUCUCUAUCUAGUGUCGAGUAGUUCCUGUCAAUAUCCGGGCUGCAAAAAACAAUUUCAAAAUCAAAGCUUUCAAUAUCCAGUUUUGCACUAAACGCUUACUUGCAGAGCUGCCACCGAACUGGUCUCGUCUCGACGUGCAAGGCGGCUUGAACAUCCUGGCGGUUGAGAUAAGGUGUCACAGAAUCAAGGCAAGCCUCGUCAUCUGGUCCUGAAAGUAAGUUGCAUGCUGGUGCAUAGAUGUUGUAACGACUAAUGUAGGCAAUCAGGUUCAGGAUCUGGGAGGUAGCAUUUCUACAUCUCGCUAUUGAUUCGUCAUCAUUCCUCCUGCAGUAGGUCUUCUCUUCUUGGUAAAGCUCCUCAGAAAUGAUUGAAUGCGAGUACAAGUUCUCAAUGUCACCAGGACCGUCAUAGUCGACGUCCGUGGCAGGAUUACCAAUCUGAAUGUAUGAAAAUUAGCUUCUUUCAAUGUAGUGUAGUGUAAGAGUGAACGUACAGCAAACCCCUUCAGGUUGAUACGAUUUCCAUUUUGCUCAUUAUGUGAAAUGAUUUGCGAUGCCAACGUUGGUAUGUAAUGUCCUUCAGGGAAUCAAGUGUUACGUACUGUGCAAACCUCAAGUAUGCAUACCUGCAAAGCUUUCUCCAGCAAUGAAGAAGUCAUUCUGUUUAUACUCAGGGAACUUUGUGAGAAAUUCGAGCAGAAACAGCAAAGUAUCGCUGGCUGCAUCCCAAACACGUUUUAUGAGAAGUUGAGAACCACAAGCAAGUGGUAUAGUACCUGUUUGAUUGUCUGUGUAAUUUCCCCCAUCAGAAAGCAAGUUUGUAUAUGAGAAACCGGUAUUAUAAGGGGUCUCCAAACAGAUGAUAUUCACAGCUGCACAUGAAAUCGGAUCGAGCAGAUGAAACUCCUAGGAUCUAGGAGAAAGAAAAAACCUUUAUUCCAAGAGUAUGGAUUGCGAACGAGCCCAGUGCCUGAGUCAUUUGUGCUGAAUGGACCAGUCCCUCCAAGAGCUCCAGAGCGAAUGGAUGAACAUCCCGGUCCUGCAGAAACGUACAAAUAUUACAAAUGCUGCGUAUCAUUUUGCAAGGAUCAAAGAAGCACCUCCAGUGAGCCAUAAUACCAACGGCAAGGAAGACGCAUUUGGGUGAUCUGCUUCGAAGAACCAGUAGAACAGUGCACGUCCAGCUGUGGCGUUUAUCUCAAUUUGACCUGCGUACUGCUUAAAUCCAACUUCUGGUUGCCCAGGAAGCCCUUGCACAAGGUGCGAAGGGUCUGCAGCCAAUGCCAAUGCAACCUGGAGGAGCACAAGAAGAAGAUGAAUCCAUGUCCUCAUAGCUCUCACGAGUGGAUGAAGCUUCCCUCUUCAUUGUCACGUUUGCGCAAUCCUUAUAGUCAACAAACCGUGUUGGAUCAAACUCUUCUUGCCGUCUGGUCUGGAGCCGGGUCUGGAGCUGAAUUCAAAACAUCUUUCAAAUUUGGAGACUUCCGCAACUCGUGAAAGGUUCACUUCUGAGUCUGUGGAAUCCAACGCUUAGCUACAAACUUCAAGGUUACUUACACAGUAAAUUAAGUUUGGGGACCUGUUCUUCUGACGUGCUUUCAUCCUCGAAGAAAUGCCUUGUUCAUGCUGACAAGGAAUCCCCAUCUUGACAAGCGAUGUACUCUGAGCUGAGUGCAUUCCGCUAACGAUAUUCUCACCAAUUCUGCAUCCUUGCCCGGGGCUGUGGCAAACAAUGUGGACAGAAACAAUUCAGAAAACCUACUCGCUUAGAGCAAAUGGACGCUCUUACGGCUGGAAGCUGCCAGAUGAAGGCGCCGGCUGUGUCAAAACUGCGAAGAGUACUAUCCGAUGAUUGAGAGAAACGAAGGCGCUAGGGUAACAUUAUGCAAUAAGCAAAUAAGCAAGGCUGCAAGAGCAAUUACAAGUACACAUCAACACUCUAAAAUAAUUUUAAAAGCACGAGUGCAUGCACUCAAAGAUCUUGAAGUCACAGAUCUUCAUAUAUGCAGAUCAAUACAUUGCACAUGUCAUACACACAGUUAUCAAUCAUCAUAGCCUGAAAAUCAGUAUAAACAAAGCCAAUUAUAUAUAGUUGCGAAUUCUCUAGAAGAUCAUUAUUAGAAGGCCUCAGCUUCCCGCCAUCCCAAUGCGAGUCCACCAGCAGACGCCAAGAGCCAGCACCUCAUUGUGCUUAAUCUGGACAGGUACAUGUUUAAGUAGCAUAAGCUACAACAAGAGAUAAAAUUUCAAAUGUACUAAACAAAUGUUGAGUUUUAUUUCUUGACAAUCCCUUGUUACAGCUAAAACGACGGCAGUGCCUUGCUUUCGAUAAAGUGUUGGAACAAGGUAAGUGCCUGGCCAGGUUUGUCAACUGGAGGCUGAUGUUUUCGACAUGACCCCGCACAGAUGCCACACCAAAGUGUAUUCUAAGGGUCAUGAAUACGUACUCGAGCGUGGACGGGGUCAACAUUCUUCACGUAAAGAGUCAUCUCCAGGUCAGCUUUUCUCUGUUUUUUCUGUUAUUUUUUGUUUUUUUUUUUGUUUGGUUUUUGUUUUUUGGUUUUAUUGGUCGGAUUGGCUUCUAUUUAUACUUUUUAAUUUAAAAUAUUUUUUACAGAAGUACAGGCUAGUCAAAGAUCUUCCACCCAGCCCCGUUGGUACGAAUGAUCAACUGUUUUUUUCUUUCUUCUGUUUUUUUUUUUUUUGCUUUUGGAUGGUCCAAUAUUUUGUGCGUUUUUGGCCCACAGCAAAACAGCAGCAAUCUAAGCAAUGUUCGCUGGAGCUCCCAUCAUUGAACGUAGAAACGUACGUUAUACGUAGUACUUGACUAGGAAAACUCUUUGAAAACUCUUUUCACCUUUUAUUUAUUUUAACUUGUUUCUCUCUUUCUCAGUGGGCUGCAGAUCACCGAGACACUGCGCUUGCAGCUCGAAGUCCAAAAGCAACUCCACGAACAGCUCGAGGUUCUCUGCACAAAUUUCUCGAACUAUACAUUUGAUGGUCUAAUCGAAUUGUGCUCGUAAACCUUGGCAGAUUCAAAGAGAUUUGCAGAAGAAGAUCGAGGACCACGGAAGAUAUCUCGAGAGAAUGUACAGCAAGACGGAGGAGGCGACGCGAUCGUGUCACAAGAAUUCGGACGAGCCCUCGCCCGGUCCUCAAGAACAAGAACAGCGCAAACACCAUCAAACUUGCGACGAUCAGAUCCACCAAGCCUCGGGUACCACGACGAGCACGGCCGAUUCGUUCCAGCCGCCACUCAAGAAAUUAAAACCAUCGCAAGAACAGGAGGAGCUCCAACCCGUGGGAGACGAGGACGUCGAUUUUUCCGAACUCUGGAAGUUCACAUGAAGAAAAAAUAUUUUGUCAGGAAUGGGAAUCGAACCCAUGCCCUUGCGGACUAGUACCUGAAACUAGCGCCUUAGACCAACUCGGCCAUCCUGACUUUACGUGUAAAUACCACCAUGGUGUCAGUAUUUCACUGGAAAUACUUUUACUUUUUGGUUUAAAGUAUAGUAUGAUUCUCCAUUAGGGUUUAUGGAAUGGCGGCUCUGGCUCCCUCGUCCGGCAGCAUUGCUGUAGCUCCGCGAUCUAGGGCGGCGCACUUCGCUGUGAGGAUCCCGAUCUCGAGAGCGAGUAGAGUGGCGGCGAUGGCUUGCUCCUCGUCCGGGAAUGUAGCAGCAAUCGCCAGCGAGCAGGCGCAUUCUAGCGCUCAGCGAUCAGUGGCAGAAGCUCAACAAGGUGGUUCUAGCGUACAGUGGGGGCUUGGACACGUCCGUGAUCGUGCCGUGGCUCAGGUAAUUUGGAUCUCAUGCAGCGAUUUCUUCUUUGGAUUGAGAGUUUUGGCUUUGUUUUACUGGAUCAGGGAGAACUAUGGCUGCGUGUGUUUCACAGCUGAUGUUGGGCAAGUAAGUCGAUCUCGUGUUUUUUGUUCUGCCGAUUCUUAGCAUUUCUUUUUUUCUUCCUUGCCACUCUGUUCUGUGAUUUCCAGGGCCUGGGCGAGCUCGAAUGGUUGGAAGCUAAAGCGAAGGCAAGCGGUGCAAGCCAGCUGAUCAUCAAGGACUUGAAAGAAGAGUUUGUGAAAGACUUUAUCUUCCCUUGCUUGCGAGCUGGUGCCGUGUACGAGAGGAAGUAUCUGCUUGGAACUUCGAUGGCUCGCCCUGUAAUUGCAAAGGCAAGUUUGUGAAAGUGAGGAACUGCUGUAUGGUCAUUGAGCUUGUGCUGGUUUUUGUGCAGGCCAUGGUUGAUGCUGCAAAGGAAGUUGGAGCUGAUGCCGUUUCUCACGGUUGCACAGGGAAAGGGAACGAUCAGGUAACAAAGUUUCGUGCUUUUUUUCUCCUCUCUUCGUAUACAUGAGAAGUGGUUUCCUCGUGUUUCUGUAGGUGAGAUUCGAGCUAACGUUCUUCGCAUUGAACCCGAAGCUAGCUGUUGUUGCGCCCUGGAGAGAAUGGGACAUAAAAGGCCGCGAAGACGCCAUAGAGUAUGCAAAGAAGCACAACGUACCCGUGCCCGUGACGAAGAAAUCUAUCUACAGCCGAGACCGCAAUCUCUGGCACAUUAGACAUGAGGUAUCGCAAAUCUCCUUUUUGUUUCGUGACUUAACGACGAGCGACCUCUUUUCCAGGGAGACAUUCUCGAGGACCCCGCGAACGAACCCAAGGAGGACAUGUUUGUCAUGACUACAAAUCCAGAGAAAGCUCCUGAUACGCCAGAGUAAGCUCUCCCUCAGUCUCUUUCACUGAAAGAAAUCUCUUCGUUCCAGGUACCUGGAGAUCAGUUUCGAGAGAGGCCUUCCAGUCUCGGUGAACGGCAAGGCUCUGUCCCCCGCCAAACUCCUGGAAGCGCUCAACGAUGCCGGAGCCAGGCACGGCAUCGGGAGAGUGGACAUGGUGGAGAACAGGCUCGUCGGUAUGAAGAGCCGCGGAGUGUACGAGACGCCCGGUGGAACCAUCCUGAGCCUAGCAGCGCGGGAGCUGAGUCGCUGGCGCUGGAUCGCGAGACGAUGCAGAUGAAAGACACGAUGGCGCUCAAGUACGCGGAGCUGGUGUACGCGGGGCGAUGGUUUGAUCCUCUCCGGGAGUCGCUGGACGCCUUCAUGGAGAAGGUGACGGAGACGACGAGCGGCAGUGUCAAGCAAAAGCUGUUCAAGGGGUCGGCGGUGGUGGCCAGCCGGACCAGCCCCUUCAGCCUCUACAGGCAGGACAUAUCUUCGUUCGAGGAGGGCAGUGGGAUCUACAACCAGGGUGACGCUGCCGGAUUCAUCCGCUUGUAUGGCCUUCCCACUCGCGUCCGAGCAAUGCUUCUGGAGAAAUGAGAGAAAGAACAGGUAUGAAAGUUCUUCGUUGUUUUGAUGUUGUUCUUGUGUUUUUGAUAUCCGGAGUGGAAGAAUCGAAUGCUUUGCAAUGUUUCUUGGGAACUGAAAGAAAGUUAUGGAAGUUGUUUGUGUUCUAAGUUUGAGGAAUCAAAUGCUUUGAUUUACAAGCUAGAGCUCUUUUUCCGAUCUAAGUUGUGCUUCUCUAUCCAUCUCUCAAACGCAGCAACGUCGCGAUUCUUCCACGCGAUGGAUCCUUUCGGUGGAAGAUGAGGCAGCACAAAUCUUUCAUAUGCCUCCACGAAUUCCAUGGAGUCUGUCGACGUCGCAAGGUUCACGUCCUUCUCCUUGCUUCCACCGCUGAGAACACCAACAAAGUAUCCUGGAAGAUUUGCAGGAACGAUCGGACCUCCGCUGCUACCAUCCAGAACCGAGGCACUGAUCUCCAGCCUCGAUCCGGCCGAGCUCUCCAAACACCCCGGCCAGCACAGGAGCUCUCCGGUUCUAAAGUCCGCGAACGUUUCCUUGAGCCGAUCAAAGAGCUCCUCCUUGGUGGCGAUGUCCAUCUUCUUCGUCGCCACCUCGCGGUAGCGCUCCCACACGCCGUGCUCCGCGGUGCCAAGCACCAGCUCCUCGCUCGUCAUGCUCAAGAGCUCCACCAUGGAAGGAUACGAGAACGCCGCCACGAAAGGCCGCGAGGCGGGAACUUCGCCGGGAGAGCAAGGCAGGAAGAAGGAUCCAUCACUCUCGGCGCUGGCGGCCUCGAAGCACGAGAAAUCCUCGCUCGCCACCAACGCCCGAGCCGCGCAAUCGAAUCCAGUGCCGCGGAAGGAGUUUGGAGUGACGAAAGCGCCAAGACAACCAAGAACACUACCAUGAUCGGCUGAUACAUAGCUGGCCGAGAGCGCGAUCUGUGAUCGCCCUCCAUCGAUCGAAAGGGCGGCGUGACAAAGAAACCGCUAAAGAAUCUCGUGAGUUGAGCGUCUAGCACGAUAUCUAUCCCCAGAGUGGGAUCUCUCGCGAAUGGGCGAGAAGGGCUGUCAGCUCCAGGCUCGUGAUCGAUCACCACCGACUUGGUAAACUAUCAAAUAAAAAUGAAUUUGAAGCUGAACUGAAAAAGAAUUUGAUAUUCCAACUUAAACCACAUGUUCAAGUAAUAUAAGCUAGAGCAAAAGAUAAAUUUCACAUGUACUUGUUGAGUUUUAUUUCUUGACAAUCCCUUAAUACAACUAAAACGAUGGCAGUGCCUUGCCUUCGAUAAAGUGUUGGAACAAGGCAAGUGACUCGCCAGGUUUGUCAAAUGGAGGCUGAUGUCCAGCACCUCUUACUGUCGCAAAUGUCAUUUCUGAGUACACUUCUGUCCAUCCACCAACCUGCAGUUUAAAAGAGUUGUCUAAUAUACUCCUGGCACUCAACAAAAUUUAGUUGACG